AGUGAACGCUGGCGGUAGGCCUAACACAUGCAAGUCGAACGGCAGCACAGUAAGAGCUUGCUCUUACGGGUGGCGAGUGGCGGACGGGUGAGGAAUACAUCGGAAUCUACUUUUUCGUGGGGGAUAACGUAGGGAAACUUACGCUAAUACCGCAUACGACCUACGGGUGAAAGCAGGGGAUCUUCGGACCUUGCGCGAUUGAAUGAGCCGAUGUCGGAUUAGCUAGUUGGCGGGGUAAAGGCCCACCAAGGCGACGAUCCGUAGCUGGUCUGAGAGGAUGAUCAGCCACAAUGGAACUGAGGCACGGUCCAGACGCCUACGGGAGGCAGCAGUGGGGAAUAUUGGACAAUGGGCGCAAGCCUGAUCCAGCCAUACCGCGUGGGUGAAGAAGGCCUUCGGGUUGUAAAGCCCUUUUGUUGGGAAAGAAAAGCAGCAGGUUAAUACCCCGCUGUUCUGACGGUACCCAAAGAAUAAGCACCGGCUAACUUCGUG
rnacentral:rRNA from 1 species